UAAUCACAUCCUUUCCCUGUGUCGCUCAGCCGUCACUUGUAACGGCUCUGCCCACAACAUCCUGACCAUAGUUAACCAUUUAACCAGUGUGAGUAUAAAAACACAUACAGCUGUAGUUACAAUAGUACUCUAGGUGGAUCUUGCUCAAGACUUUUUGAAUGAAAUUUAAACUCAAAAUGGACUCCAGACAAAGAUUGGGGAAAUWCAGGGUAGAGAGGGAAGUCCUGGACGAGCAGAGAUUAGAAGAACUAACCCAAAGGAAAGCAUACUCAGACAUCCACCCACCUGUGACUGAGCGUUUAAAAUACUCUUUAAGAUGUAGUGUACGUAAACUGAAGCAAAGYGUGUUGAGCAGCUUUCCUGUGUUAUACUGGCUUCCCAAGUACUCAGUCUGGGACUACGGCAUGCCUGACCUUGUGUCUGGGAUCAGUGUGGGCAUCAUGCACCUGCCACAAGGCAUGGCCUAUGCAUUGCUGGCUUCUGUACCUCCUGUGUUUGGGCUUUACUCAUCUCUCUAUCCAGCAAUAAUCUACUUCUUUUUUGGAACGUCACGUCAUAUUUCCAUUGGUACGUUUACCAUCCUCAGCAUCAUGGUAGGUAGUGUGACUGAGAGACUUGCUCCAGAUGAGAUUUUCCUUAAAAGAAAUGGGACCGACUUUAUUGCAGAGGUGGACAUAGGUGCCCGGGAUGCAUACAGAGUUCAGGUGGCAGCUGCUACCACCGUCCUUGGAGGACUUAUUCAGGUGUUGUUAGGUGUUGUAAAGAUUGGAUUUGUGGGAAUGUACCUGUCCGAGCCUCUGGUGCGGGCUUACACAACAGCUGCAGCAGCACAUGCUGUAGUGGCACAAGUGAAGAACAUUUUUGGAGUUUCACCGRCAAGGUUUAACGGCCCACUGUCCCAGGUUUAUACUCUGGUAGACGUUUGCACCUUGCUGCCUCAGACCCAUCUCCCCACAUUAGCAGUCAGUGCUGUGACCCUUGUGCUUCUAAUCACAGCCAAAGAGCUCAACUCGUUCUUCAGYGCGAAGCUGCCGGUUCCCAUCCCAGUGGAGCUCAUCACAAUUGUAGCAGGGACCCUGAUAUCAUCCUACACCCACUUGAAUACCAACUACACUGUUUCAGUUGUUGGUGAGAUUCCAAGUGGUUUAAGUCCUCCCAGUGUGCCAGAUGUGAGUAUAUUCAGUGAGGUUAUUGGUGAUGCUUUUGCACUGGCCAUUGUUGGAUAUGCUGUUUCCAUUUCUCUUGGAAAAACGUUUGGACUGAAGCACGGAUACAAGGUGGACAGUAAUCAGGAGCUYGUGGCGCUUGGUCUCAGUAACACAGUGGGAGGCUUCUUCCAGUGUUUUUCUGUCUGCUCCUCCAUGUCUCGAAGCUUGAUCCAAGAAACCACCGGAGGUAAAACUCAAAUGGCUGGAGUUGCCUCAGCUCUAAUUGUGUUGGUGACCAUUCUAAAACUUGGACCACUGUUCCAGGAGCUGCCAAAGGCUGUGCUUGCAUCAAUUGUGCUUGUCAAUCUGAAGGGGAUGUUCAAGCAAUACUCUGACAUCGUUACUCUGUGGAGGAGCAGCAAGAUUGAUCUGGUGGUUUGGUUGGUCACUUGGGUGUCCACAAUGCUUCUGAAUCUGGAUCUGGGUUUGGGUGCCUCCAUCAUUUUUGCUCUGUUCACRGUUAUUUUUAGGACUCAGAUGCCAACGUAUUCUGUUCUGGGAAAUGUUCCAGGGACAGAACUAUAUGUGGAUAUAGAGACACACAGAGAGGCAAAAGAAAUWCCAGGUGUUACCAUAUUCCGCUCUUCUGCUACAGUGUAUUUCGCCAACGCUGAGCUCUACCUCGAGGCCCUGAAAGAAAAGAGUGGGCUCGACAUCAGCAAAAUGAUUAUAUAUAAGAGAAGACAGGAGGCUAAACAGAGAAGAAGAGAAAAGAGGGCUGAGAGACGAGCAAAGAGGCAGGCUAAGAGAGAGAGACGGGCACAAAAAGCAGCUAAGCAGCUUUCUGGACCACCGGAGUUUUCUGUUGAGGAGGGCUGCUGGAAGGACACAUGCAUAGAUGAGACUAUYGCACAGCAGGAGGAACCAGGCUGGACUGAGAGGGAGAACGGGACAGUGUUUGUGAUCCCAACCACUCCCAGAAGCCCUGACGGUCAGUCCAGAUGGGAGUAUCUUAAAGGAGGCGACCCAGACUGCAGCAGUUUAGACUGGAUGUCAGAGGACCAGGACGGGGACACCACCACUCUGGGCUCCAGCACUGAGGACACCCUGAGUCAUGACCUGGAGCGAGUCUCUCUUGGGUCUCUGGGCAAGUGGACCUGGGACAUUCACUCCAUUAUCCUUGACCUCUCCACAACCAACUUCAUCGACAUUGUGGCUAUAAAGACUAUGAAAAACAUUUUCCAGGAUUUCAGUGAAAUUGACGUGGAUAUCUACAUCGCUGGCUGUCAAGCGUCUGUGGUGGAACAGCUGGAGCACGGGGACUUCUUCUCAAAGGCAAUAACAAAACAGCACCUCUUUGCUUCCGUUCAYGACGCUGUGCUCUUCUGUCUCAACCACCGUGGAGCCACUUCUGUCCCCAGAUACGACCCAACACGGGUGAGUUUGUGAAGCUGAUAUUCAGGUCCACAACUGAUACAGAAAGGACACACUGAGUUCACAAAUUAUCUGGCAGUUACUGGAAAAAUAAUGAAGGACCUAAACAACAGCACAACAUUUUAGAGCCUUCAGCAUCUUGUCAAAGGAUCAUCACAAGGUGAUUUUCUGUCAGUUAAAUGCUGAAUGAAGGUUAAACCAAAAAAGAAUUACUGACAUUUUUAUCUAUACUUUUCUUUUGGUGUGUUUCUUUGUUUUGCGUUUUCUUGAAGUGAUAUUUAUACACUGAUUUAUUAAAAAAAUGACAAACAGUGAAAAAAAUUAGCUUAAUUUAAUUUUAUUUGGUGAAGAAACGAGAGUGUGCACUUGAAACAAUCACUUGAUAAAUAAACAAAAAGGAAUCUGGACAUCUUGUGCAUUUUAAUUCGUUGUGCAUUCAUACAACUGAAGGAACAAAGGCAAGRCAUCAUGCAUCACACUCAGAGUGUGAGCUUCUUUUGGUAAUGGCAGCCAUCGCAGUAUUCUAGUGCAAACAGUUUUCUCACAGCAACAGCAAAAUGUGUUGAGAAAAAGUGUUACGACACGGCUCAGCGUAAGCCGGGACGUAACACAACAUAAGCAUGUUAUGUUACGACAUAACAUAAAGCAUGCAAAGAUGUGUGUUAAUUUCUGUUUGGAUCAUUUAGGGAAAUCUAGUGGCAGAAAAAUAAUAUGAGUGUAUAAGGAAUCUGUUUCUUGAAAACCUCAUUUCUCCUACACAAAUUGAGAGGGGAACAAUAAUCUGCUUGUAAUGUCACAUUUUGCCACUAGAUGUCACUAAAACCCCACAUUAACAGUUUUAAAUCACAACUCAUUGGGAUACGUUCUAGUGCAAGACUCCUAAAACUGGAAAUAAGGUUAAAACUGUUUAUUUUAAAAAUGU